rnacentral:rRNA from 1 species
AAUCAACGCUGGCGGCGUGCCUAACACAUGCAAGUCGAACGCGAAAGGGGAGCAAUCCCUGAGUAGAGUGGCAAACGGGUGAGUAACACGUGGGUGACCUGCCUUCGAGUGGGGGAUAACGUCCCGAAAGGGACGCUAAUACCGCAUGACAUCCUGCUUUUGGAAAAGCGGAGAUCAAAGCUGGGGAUCGCAAGACCUAGCGCUUGGAAGAGGGGCCCGCGCCUGAUUAGCAGUUGGUGAGGUAAUGGCUCACCAAGGCUACGAUCAGUAUCCGGCCUGAGAGGGCGGACGGACACACUGGGACUGAGACACGGCCCAGACUCCUACGGGAGGCAGCAGUGGGGAAUCUUGCGCAAUGGGCGAAAGCCUGACGCAGCGACGCCGCGUGAGGGAUGACGGCC